rnacentral:rRNA from 1 species
GAAUAUUGGACAAUGGGGGGAACCCUGAUCCAGCCAUGCCGCGUGUGUGAAGAAGGCCUUUUGGUUGUAAAGCACUUUAAGCGAGGGGGAGGAGCUCUUGGUUAAUACUCAAGAUGCUUGGACGUUACUCGCACACUCAGCACCGGCUAACUCUGUCCCCGCAGCCGCGGGAAUACAGAGGGUGCAAGCGUUAGGCGGAUUUACGGGGCGUAAAGCGCGCGUAGGUGGCCAAUCAAGUCAAAGGUGAAAUCCCGGAGCAUAACUUGGGAAUUGCAUUCGAUGCUGGUUGGCUAGAGUAUGGGAGAGGAUGGUAGAAUUCCAGGUGUAGCGGUGAAAUGCGUAGAGAUCUGGAGGAAUACCGAUGGCGAAGGCAGCCAUCUGGCCUAAUACUGACACUGAGGUGCGAAAGCAUGGGGAGCAAAC